CAAGGAGACGUCUGUAGCAUCCUGACGUUCACUCCAAACGCCGCGCCGCUCCGUCUGUUGUCGGCCAUGACCUUAAUUUCCUGAGAACUAUGAGCGAUUGUGUAACGCUCCUUACGCCGAGUCACAUUUCUGUCCCUCUUGAACAUCUAUUUGUGUCCUCUAUUCAAACUGGCUGCUAAUUUGGCCCGCGGUUUUGGACACGGAAGAUGAGCAGGCGAGGGAGGCCCGUCUCAGCAUAGCCUUUAUCUUCAAAGCCGUGCAGCAGGCGCCCUUGGAAGGCCAAGCGGCACGCAUUAGCGUGGAUGUCCGUGUCCAGCUUGGAGCCAAUCACCAGGCACAGUAAGGGGCACGUGACGGGCCGCUCAAACUCCAACAAGGCCCACUGCUCUGGGUCGGGUCCCGAGUUGGACUCUCCCUGGCCAGUGACGUAUUCUUCUUGGUAGAGGUACUCCCUGUCGAAGGCGAAGGCCGUUUCUGGCGAGCGGGGCUGCGGCGCGUCUGGCGGCAAUCCAAAGAAAGUCACCCGUGCCAUGACCGUCUCGUGCCCCACCGUGAUGUGGAACUUGGCCCGCGUGCCGAGGGAACCCUUGAAGUAGCCGAUCUUCUUGGCGGAGAUGACGGCGGCGAAGACGGUGCGCAGGGAGCUCGGGGUGCACACCAGCCCCCGCUCCAGCAACUUUGGGUCAAACUGUGUCACGCACACACCCACGCGGUCUCCCUGCAUGGCCCCCGACACUGGCUUCCGAAACAUCUGUAUCGACUUUACCUUCUUAGUCACCUGAUGGAAGACAUGUGACAGAAUAACACAUCUUAAGUCUAAACACAAUUCAGUGCAAAUUAAACAAAAUAAUUCUCGUGGAGA